rnacentral:rRNA from 1 species
AUUGAACGCUGGCGGCGUGCCUAAUACAUGCAAGUCGAACGGAGUGGCGCACGGGUGAGUAAUGUAUAGCUAAUCUGCCCUACACUAGAGGACAACAGUUGGAAACGACUGCUAAUACUCUAUAGUGUAGGAUGAGGCUAUAUUGUAUCAGCUAGUUGGUGAGGUAAUGGCUCACCAAGGCUAUGACGCAUAACUGGUCAGAUGGGAUGAUCAGUCACACCGGACCUGAGACACCGGUGAGACUCCUUCGGGAAGCAGCAGUAGGGAAUAUCGCUCAAUGCGGGAGAACCUGAAGCAGCUACGGCGCGUGGAGUAUGACACUUGUCGGAGAGUAAACUCCUUUUGUUAGGGAAGCGGUACCUACCGAAUAAGCACCGGCUAACUCCGUGCCAGCAGCCGCGGUAAUUC